GCAGGAGGGCAGGAGAGCAGGAGAGCAGGAGGGGAGGAGAGCAGGAGGGCAGGAGAGCAGGAGAGCAGGAAGGCAGGAAGGCAGGAGAGCAGGAGGGCAGGAGUCGGAAGUCAGUCACUCUGGUGUCAACAACAACCACCCCCAGAGACCACACACACACACACACACACACACACACACACACACACACACACACACACACACAUCCUCUCCUGCACCACAUGGCAACCAGCUCCCAUAGCAACCACUGCUAUCAGGGGUUUUGUGGCUGUGUCUCAGUUGAAGGAGCCGUCGACAGGCGAGCAGCGUCACUGCUUCAUGGCUCUGAGUGCAGACGUUUAAAACUUGAUGCAUUCAUCAUUAACUCACAAUCACAAUCACACAGUGUUCACUUAACACCACAGAUACACACUGAGCUUGUGACAGGUGUUAAGCUCGUCAGAGACCAUCGUGUUCAGACAGUUCCUGUAUUCUGUUGUCUGAUGCCUGUAACUACACUCCAGCAGCACACAUGAGAGGAAGAGAAAACGAGUGCAAGCCUACAGAUGGCCCACAGAACUCUGGGACCUGCCACAUGGCUCCUUCUUCACGUGUCGUGGCGUCCGGUGCGAGCGGCAGGAGAACAGCUUUGUCAUGCUAAUGGAGGAGGAGGACAGCUGCUUUGGGCCAAGUGGUGACAUGUUAAAGAGAGACACACCAAACAACUGGGGAACCCAUUACUGAGCUCUGGUAGGAUUUCUGCCAAGGAUACACAAAGACUUUGCUUAUUCCAUGUACGGAGCAGAUGAGCAGUAGAUCGAGCUCUGUGUCCUGACCUCGUCUGCAGAUGUUCUACACCGUGUUGCAUUUCGGUUGGUGUAAAACGGACCGGGAUUAACUGCUGGUGUGUUGUGUUAUGGAAAGCCACCUGUGAUACAUCACAAACUCAACACUUAUCCUUUCUGCUUGGGUUACAGCAUCAUAAAGCAGUAAAUAUAAACCCGCCUUAUAAGCCUGUGAUACGGGCGCCGUUUCCCAUCUGACGUGAGAGGCAACUAAGGUUCAACAAAAUCAAUAGAGCUUUUAAGUUACUUCCAAAGAGGCUGCAAGUCACCAGGAAGUGUGUACCGGAAUUGUGCAGUCUGACAGCAACUAUAUUUCAGCAAGCCAUUAGCAGCUCACAUGGCCAAAAAUCUGUUACUGUUCACAUCACCUGAAAAUAAACACCAAAAUCUAACGUAAUAAUCCAUCUGAACGCUUUAACACACCUGAACAUCUGGGGUUAUUUACGGCCAACUGACCGGGACGUGACGAUAGCUUCUAUCUGUACGGUCUAAUGGAUCCUGUUCAUGGUGAAGAUAUUGGAGACAUAUUGAUCCGUACUAAAAGAGAAAGCAGGAGAGCUGUGAUGAACGUCAGGCGUUUGGAGGCCAGCUGUCUGUGUGCUGGCCUUCUGGCUCGACGUUCAGCGCGAGCGCGUCGGCGGAGCCACGUUAAGACAAAGACGCCGCUCUUAAAGCACGAUCGGAAUCGCUGACUAGGGCAAUGAGGCUUCCUGAGGUCACCAAACUUUCCUUGCAAACAAAAGCAUGAAAAGGAACAGGAGUGGAAUAUGGUGAGCAGGAGCAGGAGCAGGAGCAGGAGCAGGAGCAGGGGCAGGGGCAGGGGCAGGAGCAGGGGCAGGGGCCGGACCCCUCUGGGAGCACUUUCAGGAACAUUUCGAAGGCCAAGCAAAACAAUGGCACUGAUCCAGAAAGUGUGUCGAGACAAAAGCGGAGACUGAAUGAGGGGAAGGUUGUUGGGUGGGUGUGAAGGGAUUAAAGCAUUAAUCACAGAUGGUGACUGCAUCUCAUCUUUUCACCAAACCCCCACUAAACCCCCACCAACCCCGCACCCACCCUCCAGCAAAAUAACCGACAAUGCUUUGCUCCACUCGCUUUUGUCAGUACGCGUGUCUGUCAAGCAGGAGUGUGUGGUGGCCACAAUGGGAAGGAGCACAAAGGCAUGUCUAGCCCCUCCACCCCUCGUCCCUCACCCCUCCACUGCACUCAUCCAUGUCCCAGUCACUGUGAAUAGAAAGGCACGUGCUGCUUCUGACUGGUGGAAUAAUAGGAAAGAAAGGAACCAUGUGGUAUCAGACCGAUAUGAAGCCACGACCCUUCUGAUUCCAGAUUUGCAUCAGCCGUGAUACCGUGUUGGUCCGCAUGGUCGUAAAGACAAACUCCACCCAGAAGCACAUGUAGAUAUGUUUCAGUUGUGUCACGUCUUCAGUGAUUCUGGUGCUUGAAUUUAGCAGCCGUCUGCCGUGAUGACAUCACACGAUGACUGGGAUCCUGAGUGGAAUUUCACUCGUCAGACUCAUUAGAUUUUGACUGUCUGGGCCACAAGUAUGCAGCGAAUAGGACUGGGCCUGGUCACGGUGUGCGGUAUAAACAGACUGCACGACGGACCCAGUAGGAACAACAGGACCCAGCAGAACCCAGCAGGACCCAGUAGGAACAAGCAGGACCCAGUAGGAACAAGCAGGACCCAGUAGGAACAAGCAGGACCUAGCAGGACCGAGCAGGACCAAGCAGGACCCAGUAGGAACAAGCAGAACGCAGAAGCCCCAGCAGGACCACACAGGACCCAGCAGGACCAAGCAGGACCAAGCAGGACCCAGCAGGACCAAGCAGGACCCAGCAGGACCACACAGGACCCAGCAGGACCCAGCAGGACCCAGCAGGACCCAGCAGAGCUGCAGCUAGAUGGAAGCUGUUUAUUCUUUUUUAAAUUGACCAAUAAUAGAGACGUCGUUUACAAAAGAUUCCUGAAGCCUCGUCCUGAACCGCUGAAUGUCUGAUGCAAAAACUCCAAUAAAAUAUCUGUUAUAUACAUUUCCACAUUUUAUCGUCAUGACGACUCACAUUGUGUUUCUUCACAUGAUCACCAGUCAGACCAACAGUCACGCUGCCAAACGUGACAAACUGCUGUACAAUAACAGUCUAAUAAAGACUAAUAAAGUUACACACCAACUGGAAUACAAACAAAUCUAAUUCAUGCAGAAGAAGCGAAUGUGCUAGCUAUGUGUUACGCUAGCUAUGUGUUAUGCUAGCUUUGUGUUAUGCUAGCUUUGUGUUACGCUUUGUGUUACGCUAUCUAUGUGUUAUGCUAGCUUUGUGUUACGCUAGCUUUGUGUUAUGCUUUGUGUUACGCUAGCUAUGUGUUACGCUUUGUGUUACGCUAUCUAUGUGUUACGCUAGCUAUGUGUUACGCUAGC